UGGGGAAUAUUGCACAAUGGGCGCAAGCCUGAUGCAGCAACGCCGCGUGAACGAUGAAGGUCUUCGGAUCGUAAAGUUCUGUUGCAGGGGAAGAUAAUGACGGUACCCUGUGAGGAAGCCCCGGCUAACUACGUGCCAGCAGCCGCGGUAAUACGUAGGGGGCUAGCGUUAUCCGGAUUUACUGGGCGUAAAGGGUGCGUAGGUGGUCUUUCAAGUCGGUGGUUAAAGGCUACGGCUCAACCGUAGUAGCCUCCGAAACUGGAAGACUUGAGUGCAGGAGAGGAAAGUGGAAUUCCCAGUGUAGCGGUGAAAUGCGUAGAUAUUGGGAGGAACACCAGUAGCGAAGGCGGCUUUCUGGACUGCAACUGACACUGAGGCACGAAAGCGUGGGUAGCAAACAGG
rnacentral:rRNA from 1 species